rnacentral:rRNA from 1 species
GCGCUGCAUUAGCUAGUUGGUAAGGUAACGGCUUACCAAGGCAACGAUGCAUAGCCGACCUGAGAGGGUGAUCGGCCACACUGGAACUGAGACACGGUCCAGACUCCUACGGGAGGCAGCAGUAGGGAAUCUUCCGCAAUGGGCGAAAGCCUGACGGAGCAACGCCGCGUGAGUGAUGAAGGUCUUCGGAUCGUAAAACUCUGUUAUUAGGGAAGAACAUAUGUGUAAGUAACUGUGCACAUCUUGACGGUACCUAAUCAGAAAGCCACGGCUAACUACGUGCCAGCAGCCGCGGUAAUACGUAGGUGGCAAGCGUUAUCCGGAAUUAUUGGGCGUAAAGCGCGCGUAGGCGGUUUUUUAAGUCUGAUGUGAAAGCCCACGGCUCAACCGUGGAGGGUCAUUGGAAACUGGAAAACUUGAGUGCAGAAGAGGAAAGUGGAAUUCCAUGUGUAGCGGUGAAAUGCGCAGAGAUAUGGAGGAACACCAGUGGCGAAGGCGACUUUCUGGUCUGUAACUGACGCUGAUGUGCGAAAGCGUGGGGAUCAAACAGGAUUAGAUACCCUGGUAGUCCACGCCGUAAACGAUGAGUGCUAAGUGUUAGGGGGUUUCCGCCCCUUAGUGCUGCAGCUAACGCAUUAAGCACUCCGCCUGGGGAGUACGACCGCAAGGUUGAAACUCAAAGGAAUUGACGGGGACCCGCACAAGCGGUGGAGCAUGUGGUUUAAUUCGAAGCAACGCGAAGAACCUUACCAAAUCUUGACAUCCUUUGACAACUCUAGAGAUAGAGCUUUCCCCUUCGGGGGACAAAGUGACAGGUGGUGCAUGGUUGUCGUCAGCUCGUGUCGUGAGAUGUUGGGUUAAGUCCCGCAACGAGCGCAACCCUUAAGCUUAGUUGCCAUCAUUAAGUUGGGCACUCUAAGUUGACUGCCGGUGACAAACCGGAGGAAGGUGGGGAUGACGUCAAAUCAUCAUGCCCCUUAUGAUUUGGGCUACACACGUGCUACAAUGGACAAUACAAAGGGCAGCGAAACCGCGAGGUCAAGCAAAUCCCAUAAAGUUGUUCUCAGUUCGGAUUGUAGUCUGCAACUCGACUACAUGAAGCUGGAAUCGCUAGUAAUCGUAGAUCAGCAUGCUACGGUGAAUACGUUCCCGGGUCUUGUACACACCGCCCGUCACACCACGAGAGUUUGUAACACCCGAAGCCGGUGGAGUAACCUUUUAGGAGCUAGCCGUCGAAGGUGGGACAAAUGAUUGGGGUGAAGUCGUAACAAGGUAGCCGUAUCGGAAGGUGCGGCUG